rnacentral:rRNA from 1 species
CCCUUAGAUGUUCGGGGCCGCACGCGCGCUACACUGAAGGAAUCAGCACGUCUUUCUCCUUGUCCGAAAGGACUGGGUAACCCGCUGAACCUCCUUCGUGCUAGGGAUUGGGGCUUGUAAUUCUUCCCCAUGAACGAGGAAUUCCCAGUAAGCGCGAGUCAUAAGCUCGCGUUGAUUCCGUCCCUGCCCUUUGUACACACCGCCCGUCGCUACUACCGAUUGGAUGGUUUAGUGAGAUCCUCGGAUUGGUCCCGGCGCGGCCUCUGGUCGUGCCGGAGUGCCGAAAAGAAUGUCGAACUUGAUCAUCUAGAGGAAGUAAAAGUCGUAACA